UUUAAGCAACUUAUUUGUAACACCCCAGUCCCACAUCGAAAGAUAUAGGAAAAAUUUGUAUGUGUAUAAGAAAUUAAGUUGCUACCAAUAGAACUUUCAAGUCAUGACCUUUUGGGUGAGCCUGUGGUGGGCUAAGAUAACCCAAGAAGAUACUAUUGGGCCAGUGGUUUAAGGCCUUAUUUUGGAUGGAUUCGAUUCGGACUUGGAAUUUGACAAGAUUUGUUAUGGACUCGGGAUUUGAUCCGGGUUGUUUCAUAUGGUAUCAAAGUCGACAUUCGAAAGCUCGGAUCAGGAGCUUUGAUACUAAUCAAUAUAUUAAUUCUUUUUUAUUUUCAAGAUCUAUGAAUUAAUCCCAAAACCUUCAUAAGUCAAUUCCCAAUCUUGGACGUUAACUAUUCUUGUCUUUACAUCAUAUUCGAUGUUAUACUUAAUAAGAUGCGGAAUACUUAAAACUUUUAUGAAUUCUUUAUUCAUUUUCCUGAAUCACAACC
rnacentral:lncRNA from 1 species